rnacentral:lncRNA from 10 species
CAUGAAUGGAAUACCUACAACAUGUGUAGACAGAGAAGGCGAGAUGUCUGAGCACUGUGUAUCUAACCAUAGAAAAGGAACAAUAAAAACAUAAUAUAAAAGACAAAAAUGGUAUAUCUUUAUAAGGCUUUUGCCAUAAAUGGAGCUCACAGGACUGGAAAUUGCUCUGGGGUAAUCAGUGAGUGAGCGGUGGGUGAACGUGAAGGCCUAGGACAUUACUGUGCACUACUGGAGACAUAAAGACUGUGCGUUAGGAAGGAGCUUGGAGGUGUAAGUGUGCAGGGAAAGCUGCACAAUUCCAAGGAGGAAAGUGCUGGCGGAGGAGCAGGGGCAGGGUUGAGGAAUCCCGGUGGGAACAGAGCAUAUUCUGAUGGUUCAGUUAUCAGCGGACGCACUGAGGUACUGAGAAGACCCUCUCUACAGAGCACCCCACAUGAACACCUGGCCAUUGUGCACACAGAGCAGGCUCCACCAGCUCCUGCUGCUGGCGUGGAGGGCGGCACUCUGUCUCAGCUGGAGCUCAGUCUACACUGACUUCUGGCAAAUCCUGGGUCUGAAUAAACCCCUCUUCAGGAUGAGUGUAUGCGCAUGCACUCACAAAAAAUACUUGGGAAUCACGUGAGACACAGAAAUGGAGGCCACCUCCUAAA